UACAUUUGCAACCGUUCAGGUCCCGCCACGGCGGGAUAAUAGGGAAGCCGGUGAAAGGCCGGCGCUAUCCCCGUAGCUGUAAUGCCCACCCAAACCUCCCGAAGGGGGGUCUUUGAAAACGUUUUACUAAAUGCCACUUUCUUAAUUCAGAAGGGAAGGGUAGUAAAACGGGCAAAGCCAGAAGACCUGCCUGAAUUCCGAUAACUAU
rnacentral:ncRNA from 2 species